AUUGAACGCUGGCGGCAGGCCUAACACAUGCAAGUCGCACGAGUGGCGGACGGGUGAGUAAUGUCUGGGAAACUGCCUGAUGGAGGGGGAUAACUACUGGAAACGGUAGCUAAUACCGCAUACCAUCGGAUGUUCCCAGAUGGGAUUAGCUAGUAGGUGGGGUAAAGGCUCACCUAGGCGACGAUCACUAGCUGGUCUGAGAGGAUGAUCAGCCACACUGGAAAUGAGACACGGUCCAGAAUCCUACGGGAGGCAGAAGUGGGGAAUAUUGCAAAAUGGGCGCAAGCCGGUUGGAGCCAUGCCGCGUGUAUGAAGAAGGCCUUAGGGUUGUAAAGUACUUUCAGCGGGGAGGCGUUACCCGCAGAAGAAGCACAGGCUAACUCCGUGCAAGCAGGCGCGGUAAUUC
rnacentral:rRNA from 1 species